rnacentral:sRNA from 1 species
UCCUAUUUUGCCUGUCAUAGUUAGAACCUCUUUCAUUCACUGAUUUAUUUCUUAAAAGAUUUGACUUUGAUUUAAAAUAAUGGACAUUGUACUCUUGUAUAGUUUAUUAGACCUCAGAGAAGUUUGAAGAUGAAGGCUUAGUACGUCAUUUAAAUGUUGGACACAUGCCGUCAUUGGGUAAUAUUAGCUUGUCAAGUCUGGAAAAUCAAUUCUAAUAUUUAGCAGGGUUUUUUUAAGGAUGUUAAAAACUUUCUAAAGCAAGGGGUAAAUAUAGAGCCGUUUAAAUUUAUGCAAGUCAUUUUUUUGGAUUCAAAAAGUUUCGACUAGCAGAUAAUACCAGACAGAAUUUCUGAAUUUUGAAGUGAAAUUUAAAUAAUUGUGAAAAUAAACGGAUAAUUGAUAUUUUAUAGGCAGGCAAAUAUUUAAUUUUCCCAAUAUUAUUUUACUGUGUAUCUCUGUGUACAUCUUGAUAAAGAAUUUUUAUAACAAAAUAGAAAAGUUAUUAAAGCUUUAAGAUUUGAAGCAGGAACUCUACUGUUCCCCUAAAGAAUCAAGUUGUUUCGUGAUCUUGAUCCAUUAAUAUUUUAUUUUACUAAUUUUAGUGAUACAAUUGUGUAUUAAAUAUUAAGAGAAAGCUUAUUGCCUCACUAAAAUCAUAAUUUUACUAAUACAUAUAUAUUAAAGCAUAUAAAUAUUUGAAUUAUUUACACAGUCAUACACAUGAAUAUUUAUAAAUGAUGUCUAUUUGUACAUUUUGUAUCACAGAAGAUGUAACUUAUUUGAAAUCCAGAAAUAUACUUUCUCAGAUUUUUUUUUUCAAUUUGAAAAUGUAGUGAAGUCUUUACUUUUGUAAAUGUGGAGAGAUAUUUAAAGAAUUUAUUUAUAUCAUUUAUCAAAAGAUAAAACUGCAGACAAAAUCCAGGGGUAGACAAUCAACUUCUUAGGUGUCUAGUUUGUAGGGAAGUAACUUAUAACUUUGAUUUGCCCCAUUUUAGAAGUUCUUCAAUUUGUUAUAAUAGCUUGUAUACUCAAUUUAAAGCAUUGUUUUUUGAGAAAUUAAUUUUUUUAGUAGGCAAAAUGAAUAGUUCUCUUUUUGUAAUACAAUACAUGUACUACUUUUACUAAGUAGCUAUUUGUUAUUUGCAUUGGGACUACUUUUAUUGAUUAAUCUGUGUGUUGUAACUGUUUGUCUUUAAUUUACUUGAAAAUUUAGUCAGGUAAAGUGCAUUAGGAAUUGGAUCUGUUCUAUGGUAUAGUUAUCUAUGACAUCCAAACGGAUAUUAGAUUUGUGUCUACAUUAAAUUCGCUGGAGAAUGAAAAAGUAUGGAAAUAAUAACUUUUAAAUAAAUAAAUUUAGAUAUUGAGAAUUUAUACCUACAUUAGAAUUUAAUUUCUCUCUAAAUAAUACUAUAAUUGCCUUUUUUAUAUUGCUUAUUUGUGCAGUCUAUUAAACUAUAAUGUUUUAUAAGAACUACUAAAUGCCACUUAGUCAACAAAUUCAACAUUAGAAUCAUCAAAUUUGGACAAAAUGUUUUAAAAAGGUGUUGUAUAAUGAUUCUUGAUAUCAGUUGCUAAUUAAGCUUCAGAAGGCAAGCACUUGAUGUUAGUUCAAAAUUACAUUCCAUCUCUUUACUUCAUAAUCGAAUAACAAGGCGGGAAAAUAAAGUAUUAUUGGGUAGGAAUUACUCAGAUAUCACACUGAUAUGUGUGAUAAUUGGCCUUAAAUAUACGUUAUGAAACGCGAAGUCGACAUCAAGUACUCUGUCUCACCAGAGUUAUCGUUCCUGCUGUGCUGCAGCGUCUUUUGAUGUGUUGAGUGCAGGGUUCCGCGCUUAAUCAGUGAAUCUCCUUUUUCUAGUUAACUAUAGUAAAACAAACAAUUUCUUAUGAUUAUAGGUGUAAACAAAUGCCAGUCUCUUGUUCAUCUUCCGACAAACAACUGAAAAAACAUGUUAAGUAAAAAUUAAUGUAGAAAAUCUGUUCUAGCAGAGAUGCAGGACAUAUGGGGAAAAACAGUAAUUCUGGAAUUUACUUUAUUGCGAAGUUUAGUUUUACUAUGUGUCACCUCCAUUUUGGCAUUUGACAGUAUGUUUAUACGGGCCAGUAUGUAGUGUUGUCGGAUAGCGAUGUUGUACCGUGUAUACAUGUAGUCGGUGUCCUUUUGUUAAACAAAAUCAUUUGUAUGUUAUUAUAUGUAAUACAUCGUUUAUCAUGUCCGUAAUUAUUGUCACUCCUUGAUAUAUUAAUAAAGUAAAAAAAAAACCGUGCU